GGGGGUAUAGCUCAACGGCAGAGCAUUCGGCUUUGACCCGAAGUAUGCAGGUUCGACUCCUGCUACUCCUGCCA
rnacentral:tRNA from 1 species